UGAGCCAAGGAGCAGCGUAUAGUCCAGAGGGUCAGCCUAUGGGGAGCUUUGUAUUGGAUGGUCAGCAACACAUGGGGAUCCGGCCCGCAGGUAGGCUUCUCCAUGCUUUCUCUGAGCAUCCCCAGGAAGUGUCACCUCUUCCACCAGCCUUUCUCAUCCACUCCACCUUCCCACUCUUAGGGCGGGUUGAACAUUUGCUUGCUGCCUGCUCUGCUUGCUUCCUUGAUAUCGGGGAGGGGGAGAAAUGUCCUCAUUGAGAAAAAAGGACGGAUUUUGCAACGGUUACCACUGGACUCUGCCCAUACACAUCGUUUUCGUUUUCAUUUUCUUUUUCUUUUUUUUUUCCCCCCUUUUGAAACCAAGGCAGUAAAUGAAAAGGAAUCUGAGUUUCCUCCUUUUUUCCCCCAUCAAUUAUUGCUGAUUUUCCGGCCUCUUCUUGGAUUUUAUCUCCCUUCUAGGACCCAUGAGUGGAAUGGGCAUGAAUAUGGGCAUGGAUGGGCAAUGGCACUACAUGUAACCUUCGCCAUGUAAAGCAAUCGCAAGGCAAGGGGGAAGUAAGUACAGCUGGGUGCGACCUGUCUUCACUAUCACUUCAGAGACUCCAUUUGAUUUUUUUUUUAUCAUUUGCCCCUGUUUUAUUUUUCCUUGCCCAUAACUGCAUGCCUUUCCAAACUAAGGAUCUGUUUUUAAACACACGUCACCCAUCUCUGAAGGCACAGAUGACACUGAUGUGCACUUUUGAGAAGGCCAGCUGACAAAGCCUGCGUGUGUUUUCAGCAGGUGCCUUUGUAGCCUAUUUACUGUGGCCCCAGUGUGCACACAACACAGACGUCAGGCAAAUAUUGGACAUUUAAGAAUAAAAAUAACGUCUUGGGGGCACCAGUUGACUGAGAGAAAUUAAGCAGGCUUCAAUGAAGCGAUAAAAAAAAGGAAAAGUAGAAUUGUCCUUUGAGUGACAUAAAUCUGUCAGAGCGCGAUUGAUGCCCAAAUUAUCUUAUAUGCAAAGAUGAAAUGCGGCAGUUCAUUACGCCUAGUCUAGAUAUAUGACAGCGGUGACACCAUUGAUUCUUCACUAGGGAGCCGGUGUGUUUUGAUUAUUUUUUACAUGUGCCUACUGACUUUCGACAUGAGACAGAAAGACAGGAAAGUCAGUCAAUAAAUUUAAAGGGAAAGACAUUUAGGAGCGACUGCAUAUGAAGGAAUGAAUUUCUCACUAAGCCUGAGUGGCUGCAGUUGGAUUAAGAAACCCAUUAGACGUUAAAGCUUCAAGUGUUUUUGACAUCUGAAAAAAAAAAAAA
rnacentral:lncRNA from 1 species